rnacentral:rRNA from 1 species
UACGAAGGGGGCUAGCGUUGCUCGGAAUCACUGGGCGUAAAGCGCACGUAGGCGGCUUGCUAAGUCAGGGGUGAAAUCCUGGAGCUCAACUCCAGAACUGCCCUUGAUACUGGCGGUCUCGAGUCCGGGAGAGGUGAGUGGAACUGCGAGUGUAGAGGUGAAAUUCGUAGAUAUUCGCAAGAACACCAGUGGCGAAGGCGGCUCACUGGCCCGGUACUGACGCUGAGGCACGAAAGCGUGGGGAGCAAACAGG